ensembl:lncRNA
AUGCAGAGCUCGCGAGGAAGCACAGCCCAGGCAGUUCCUGCUCCCUGGACAGGGAUUGUGCAUUCUGAGGCUCAUCCACGGAGCAAACACCUCCAACCUCGGCCGACAUUCCUGCACAGAAUAAAGUGCAUUCUGCCUGCCGGCCCCGCAGACUCUCAGUCUGCCAAGCCCACCCUGCUCCUGCGCGGUGUUUCUGUGGAACCACCCCGUCCCCGAUCCGGAUCUCCGGAGCCCCUCGGUGAAGCACACGCAGCUCCAGCCAGGGAUUUCUGCUGCAGAACCGACCGAGCUGCUGGCUCCAGGGAAUGCGCCUCAUUUGUGGAUUUGCGCCUUUCUCUCAGGAAUACUGAACGCCGCCGAGGGAGCCGUCUGAGCCGGGAUGUGCCCAGGGAAGGCGCUGGGGAAGGAAGGAGCCGCGAGGCAGCGAGGCCGUAUCUGCCGGUUGUCAUGGAUACAAUCGCUGCCCGUCUCCUGUAUCAGUUACCUUCCCUUUCCUGGAUGCGAACCAGCGAGUGCCGGUCUGGCUCCUGCGCAGGACACAGCCCUUGGCACCCGAAGAGAAGGAGGAAAACAUCUGUUUAAAACCCACACGUCUCCUCACAGCAUCUGAGGGGAGAGUGGGAGGUGACUCGGGUUUUUGGUAUUAAAACGAUGCACGGCCGGUGGGUAAUGCUUUGCCCAAUUCCACGUGGUUCUGUCCUAAGCUUCGGCUGUUCCUGGGACUCAGAGGAGCUGUUUCACGGCCGUCCAUCCUUUUGGGUUCCCGAGGAACUGCUGAGGACCUGGGAUCUGCACGUGCUCCCUGUGCUCAGCACACGCACGCCAGCAGAGCUCUGCAGGCUGCACGGACCAGCUCUGCCUCCAAACAUCCAGAGGCCGUGGCUCAAACUGCACCCGGAAUCAGGGAAUUUUUGGGGUUGGAAGGGACAUUAAAGUUCAUCCAAUUCCAUGGGCAGGGGCACCUCCCACUGUCCCAGGCUGCUCCCAGCCCUGCCCAGCCUGGCCUUGGGCACUGCCAGGGAUCCAGGGGCAGCCCCAGCUGCUCUGGGCACCCUGUGCCAGGGCCUGCCCACCCUCACACAGAAUUUCUUUUGUAAAAAAUUCCUUUACCUACCUGAAAAAGGCUUUUUCAAAACCCCAUGUAAAAUACAAGCAUUUCCUCACCUUUUCUAAUUUAAUUUUUAGAACAGAUCUGCAGCCCAGGUGAGAAGUUAUUUAGAGCAAGUUAUCCAUCAAAUUUAGUUUUUAAUGAGCACACAGCUAUGUUUCUAGCUUAUUUCAGUGUAGGGCUGUGUGAGGGAGUGAAAACAUGAAAGAGAAAACUAUCAGAAACUGUAAACAGAACUGAAGCUGCCAGGGCUGUUUGCACUGUCCCCCAGGAGGGAGAAACUUGAGUAAACACAGCACCAAGUACAGUCAGGGUUUAUGGUUCUUUUAGGUUUAAAAACUUGUAAACAAAUGAUGGGGCUUUUAAGUGGAUACAAAAAGAUACCCUCGGUUUUGUGCUGCUUCCAGAGCACACAGGUCCCACUUUCUCCAGAGAGGGGAGGAGAAAACAAAAGCACAUUUCAACAGAAUUCCA